GGGGGGAGCGCAGGAUCUUGGGCUGUGUCCCCCAGUGCCCUGGGCUCCGGGGCCUGCGUUGCUGGAAUUGGGCUCCUGGGGCCGCGCAGCCCCCU
rnacentral:pre_miRNA from 1 species